rnacentral:rRNA from 1 species
UUCCGGUUGAUCCUGCCGGAGGCCAUUGCUAUCGGUGUCCGAUUUAGCCAUGCGAGUUGCACGUUUAACGUAGCAAACUGCUCAGUAACACGUGGCCAAUCUGCCCUAUGGACUGGGAUAACCUCGGGAAACUGAGGCUAAUCCCGGAUAGUACAUCCAGCCUGGAACUGGCGGAUGUCUGAAACGCUCCGGCGCCAUAGGAUGAGGCUGCGGCCGAUUAGGUAGACGGUGGGGUAACGGCCCACCGUGCCAAUAAUCGGUACGGGUCAUGAGAGUGAGAGCCCGGAGACGGACUCUGAGACACGAGUCCGGGCCCUACGGGGCGCAGCAGGCGCGAAACCUUUACACUGCACGCCAGUGCGAUAGGGGGACACCGAGUGCGAGGGCAUAGAGCCCUCGCUUUUGUAGACCGUAAGGAGGUCUACGAAUAAGGGCUGGGCAAGACCGGUGCCAGCCGCCGCGGUAACACCGGCAGCCCAAGUGAUGGCCGAUAUUAUUGGGCCUAAAGCGUCCGUAGCUGGCCGCACAAGUCCGUCGGGAAAUCCACUCGCUUAACGAGUGGGCGUCCGGCGGAAACUGUGCGGCUUGGGACCGGAAGAUCCAAGGGGUACGUCUGGGGUAGGAGUGAAAUCCUGUAAUCCUGGACGGACCACCGAUGGCGAAAGCACCUUGGAAGGACGGAUCCGACAGUGAGGGACGAAAGCUAGGGUCUCGAACCGGAUUAGAUACCCGGGUAGUCCUAGCCGUAAACGAUGCUCGCUAGGUGUGGCGCAGGCUACGAGCCUGCGCUGUGCCGUAGGGAAGCCGUGAAGCGAGCCGCCUGGGAAGUACGUCUGCAAGGAUGAAACUUAAAGGAAUUGGCGGGGGAGCACUACAACCGGAGGAGCCUGCGGUUUAAUUGGAUUCAACGCCGGG